CCACGACUACUCAACUGCAAUCAGAACUGUCUGAAUUGAAGAACCGCCUGGGGGCUCAGGAGACCGAAACUCAAAAGGCCAACUCCAAAUUUGAAUUCAGCGUGGCUGAACAGGAGAAACUGAAAUCCGAGGUUGAGGUUGAGAAAAAGGCUCGGGCUGAAGAAAAAAUUGCCUUAACCCAACGAGUUGAAACAGCAGAAAAGGCUCUUGAAGAGGUGACCACUGAAUUAUCCGGUUUAAAACAUCAUGUAUCUCAAAUGGUCUCAGCAAUCUUUGGUAAGUCGCCCUAUAAAUGUCAAAUAAUAAAUCUUUCCAGUGAUCAUAUGGAUUGACAUUUAACUCGCAUGAUAUUUCUACGUAGGCCCCAAGAGCUCCAACCUCAACAAGGACAUGCGGGUGAAGCUGGAGGCGGUUAUACGCUCGUGGAACAACUUUACACUGCAUCCCAGCCAUUACAAGAAAUAUGUUAACUAGUGACCUUCUGUCAGUGACCCUGAAAGAAUUGGUCAUAGAUCUACGACCAUUUGAGACCAAUUGGUCAAAAGUUGCUCGGGGGGCUCCAUAUCGACCGUUUUAGCCAUAAAGGUCGUAAUUUUCUUACACGAAAUGGUCAUAAAGCAGACAUCACUGAUCCGCUGCCUUAUUUCUAGCUGAUCACGACCAAUAUAUAUGGUCAUAACCUUGUAAAUUGUGGUGGAUUGCUAUGACUAGGCGCCACCUCAUCAGUUUUGCCUAUGUGUCAUGUCCAUGUGUCAAUUUUUGCCCUAGGUUGUGAAGUAACCUAUAUUUCUGUCACUCCCAAAAUUCCUGAAAAAAUCUCAUAAAUUCUUUGGGUCAUAUCUUCGUCAAAUAUGUAAAAAUGCUUCCUUGCCUAGUUAAAAAAU
rnacentral:lncRNA from 1 species